UAAGGGGCGGAUGUAGCCAAGUGGAUCAAGGCAGUGGAUUGGACC
rnacentral:tRNA from 1 species